rnacentral:rRNA from 1 species
CCUAGGGGUGGCAGCAGUGGGGAAUAUUGGACAAUGGGCGAAAGCCUGAUCCAGCCAUGCCGCGUGUGUGAAGAAGGCCUUCGGGUUGUAAAGCACUUUCAGUGGGGAAGAAAGCCUUGGGGCUAAUACCCUCGAGGAAGGACAUCACCCACAGAAGAAGCACCGGCUAACUCCGUGCCAGCAGCCGCGGUAAUACGGAGGGUGCGAGCGUUAAUCGGAAUUACUGGGCGUAAAGCGCGCGUAGGCGGUCUGAUAAGCCGGUUGUGAAAGCCCCGGGCUCAACCUGGGAACGGCAUCCGGAACUGUCAGGCUAGAGUGCAGGAGAGGAAGGUAGAAUUCCCGGUGGAGCGGUGAAAUGCGUAGAGGUCGGGAGGAAUACCAGUGGCGAAGGCGGCCUUCUGGACUGACACUGACGCUGAGGUGCGAAAGCGUGGGUAGCAAACAGGAUUAGAUACCCCUGUAGUC